GGGUUUGCCACUUGGCUGGACGGCUGGUGCGAGCUCUAAGAGACCAGAAAUCUAAGGCCCUCAAAGACGUUGAUAUUACUCCUGUAGAUGAACUGUGCGUAGAAGUGGCAGGAUUGUGUCAUGAUCUCGGUCAUGGGCCAUUUUCACAUCUCUUUGACAAAAAGAUAAUUCCUGCAUUACGACUCGAUAAAAAAGGGGAAGGAAAAAUGGGAGCAUGAAAAAGGAUCCGUAGAUAUGUUUAGUUACAUGUUAGAAGCAAACGAUGGCCUUCAGGAGGAAUUUGAAAAACAAAGAAUCACAUCUAAAGACCGAACAUUCAUAGAGGAACUAAUCGUAACAUAUAAACCAGAGGAGGUAACGUUUAUCUGCUAGUAUAUGAUAUAAAACUGUCAUGCCAGUAUAAAAAUGUAGCAAUUGAGCCAAUGACCCUCAAACUUGGUAUGGAGAUUGGCUAUGACUAGUAUAAUUAUGGCCCACAGGUCAGAAGGGACUGUUACAAGAAAAUAUUUAUCCUGAUGAUAUUUAAAGUGUAUGUGUAUGUGAUCUGUGUCAAAACUUGAUCUUAUCAUUUAGAGCAAUCAAUGGUAUUCAGGUGAGAGAUAUAAGGCCCUAAUGGCCCUCUUGUGUUCACUUACAAUGUUUUUAUUUUAAUUACUGCCCUUUUAUGUUACUAUAAAUAGCUUAUUUAGUACCUUCUUGUCCUUAAGUGCAAUGAUAACAGGUGAGCGAUAUAGGGCCAGUAUGGCCCUCUUGUCUUAUUUGUUUGGAGUUGACGGCUCUGGGAACGGUCUUGCCUAACACACGCGUAGAAAAAAAAAUACAAAAAAUAGCUUCCGAUAUGUUUUAGUUAGAAUAAGUCGAGAAUCGAACCCCCGACCACCGCGGCAAUAGACAUUUCCCCGUCGUCGUAAACUAUAGCGCUAUAGCGCAUUAGUGAAUUAGGAUUUCAAAAUAUUGAUAUUGGAAAUAUGCUAAAGCAGCACGUGCGUAACACAGUAACAAUUUUCGGCGAAUGCCGUAUUAAGAACGAAUUCGUGACCGUGCCACAUGAUUUCAGUUUGCAAAUCAGACUACUUGAUAACGCAUUAUAGAUAAUUUAUCAAAAUGAACGAUUUAUGCAACACUCUUCCUGACUGGACGAGAGUGUCUAUUUGUUUCACUCUGCUGAUAGUGCUACGCUGGGUGAAAUGUAGACAAAGCAUUUAUGCUUAAUGACGCUGUUCACAGUUUUAAAGGUAAGUUUCGCUCAGUAUAUUUAGCAAGAAUAUCGAUAUCG